rnacentral:rRNA from 1 species
CCUACGGGUGGCUGCAGUGAGGAAUAUUGGUCAAUGGACGCGAGCCUGAACCAGCCAAGUAGCGUGAAGGAUGACUGCCCUACGGGUUGUAAACUUCUUUUAUAAAGGAAUAAAGUGAGGCACGUGUGCCUUUUUGUAUGUACUUUAUGAAUAAGGAUCGGCUAACUCCGUGCCAGCAGCCGCGGUAAUACGGAGGAUCCGAGCGUUAUCCGGAUUUAUUGGGUUUAAAGGGAGCGUAGAUGGGUUGUUAAGUCAGUCGUUAAAGUCUGCGGCUCAACCGUAUAAUUGCCAUUGAUACUGGUGGUCUUGAGUGCAGGUGAGGUAGGCGGAAUGCGUGGUGUAGCGGUGAAAUGCGUAGAUAUCACGAAGAACUCCGAUUGCGAAGGCAGCUUACUGACCUGCCACUGACGUUGAUGCUCGAAAGUGUGGGGAGCAAACAGGAUUAGAUACCCGUGUAGUC